AGCGAACGUUUGCGGCGGGCCUAACACAUGCAAGUCGAACGCACUAGCAAUAGUGAGUGGCGCACGGGUGCGUAACACGUGGGUAAUCAACCCUUCAGCCUGGGAUAACGACUCGAAAGGGUCGCUAAUACCGGAUACGGCGCGAGAGGCUUCGGCUUCUCACGAGAAAGCCACGCAAGGGACACUGAAGGACGAGCCUGCGGCCCAUCAGCUAGUUGGUGAGGUAAGAGCUCACCAAGGCUAAGACGGGUAGCUGGUCUGAGAGGAUGAUCAGCCACACUGGAACUGAGACACGGUCCAGACUCCUACGGGAGGCAGCAGUGGGGAAUAUUGCGCAAUGGGCGAAAGCCUGACGCAGCCACGCCGCGUGAGCGAUGAAGGCCUUGGGUCGUAAGACUCUGUGGGAGAGACGAAGAAAGACCUGUGAGAGCAGGCCUUGACGGUAGUCUCCUUAGCAAGCACCGGC
rnacentral:rRNA from 1 species